UUGAACGCUGGCGGCAGGCCUAACACAUGCAAGUCGAGCGGUAGAGAGAAGCUUGCUUCUCUUGAGAGCGGCGGACGGGUGAGUAAUGCCUAGGAAUCUGCCUGGUAGUGGGGGAUAACGUUCGGAAACGGACGCUAAUACCGCAUACGUCCUACGGGAGAAAGCAGGGGACCUUCGGGCCUUGCGCUAUCAGAUGAGCCUAGGUCGGAUUAGCUAGUUGGUGAGGUAAUGGCUCACCAAGGCGACGAUCCGUAACUGGUCUGAGAGGAUGAUCAGUCACACUGGAACUGAGACACGGUCCAGACUCCUACGGGAGGCAGCAGUGGGGAAUAUUGGACAAUGGGCGAAAGCCUGAUCCAGCCAUGCCGCGUGUGUGAAGAAGGUCUUCGGAUUGUAAAGCACUUUAAGUUGGGAGGAAGGGUACUUACCUAAUACGUGAGUAUUUUGACGUUACCGACAGAAUAAGCACCGGCUAACUCUGUGCCAGCAGCCGCGGUAAUACAGAGGGUGCAAGCGUUAAUCGGAAUUACUGGGCGUAAAGCGCGCGUAGGUGGUUCGUUAAGUUGGAUGUGAAAUCCCCGGGCUCAACCUGGGAACUGCAUCCAAAACUGGCGAGCUAGAGUAUGGUAGAGGGUGGUGGAAUUUCCUGUGUAGCGGUGAAAUGCGUAGAUAUAGGAAGGAACACCAGUGGCGAAGGCGACCACCUGGACUGAUACUGACACUGAGGUGCGAAAGCGUGGGGAGCAAACAGGAUUAGAUACCCUGGUAGUCCACGCCGUAAACGAUGUCAACUAGCCGUUGGGAGCCUUGAGCUCUUAGUGGCGCAGCUAACGCAUUAAGUUGACCGCCUGGGGAGUACGGCCGCAAGGUUAAAACUCAAAUGAAUUGACGGGGGCCCGCACAAGCGGUGGAG
rnacentral:rRNA from 1 species